GUGCUCCCUUCGGCAGCACAUACACUAAAAUUGGAACAACACAGAGAAGGUUAGCAUGGCCCCUGAGCAAGGAUGACACACAAAUUCGUGAAGCAUUCCAUAUUUUU
rnacentral:snRNA from 1 species